CGCAUGAAAUGUCCCUUUCUUUUUGGUAAUUACAAAAAUCCACCUUAUACGGUGCACGCCGGAGGGGUUUUUCCCGUCGAAAAAUAAAAGAAAAAUCGAUCAAAAAUUCAAAAAAGGGGCACAAACCAUUUUUAUACGGUGUAUGAUCGAUACGCCCAGACUCGUGGAUAGCCCCCCGAAAUAGGCCAACUUGAUCAAGACGCCCAAACUUCGCCACGCAAAACCUUUGCCCCCCUGCCAGCCGUCCAUCCUUGAUCAGACGGUCGACGACCCCGAAAGUACUGCGAACUUCAGAGCCCUUCUUCCUCGCCUCCACGGUUUCCCCAUGGUUCCGCCCCUUCCACCGUAUGCGGAUGAGCCGAGGACGCGAGAGAGAGAGAGAGUCUAACGGUGGAUUUUGCUUUUGAGACCCUAGAAUCCUCUUCGAUCUCGACAGGCGAGGCUGCAUGAGUAGGAGGGGAGAGGUCGGUCGCGGCGUCAGACGAAGGUUCUUGAAGCACUCAUGGCGCCGUUCAUCGUCUCCUCCCCGUGGACGCUGCCUCCGCCUCCUCCCGGCUGCGGAGUCUCGUCUCUCAUCCGGGGUUCUGCGAAGCCGAACCCCCGCCGAUGCGUUGGCCACCUUCGACGGUUGAGGCUGAGGCCCUCCGGCUGCCCCAUUCGCAGGUGAUUCAUUCGGGUCUCCGAUGGGUAGCGUAUUUAUGGAAUUGGUGAAGUUGCUUCUGUAGGAGAUAGUUGUAGCCGAAAAUUGAACUUAGAUCGCACUGGAAGCGUGGAUUAUCUUGGAUGAAAUCCUUGGAGAUCCGUAGUUUUAGCUUGCGGCAGCCCCGCUGUUUCUGGGUCAAUUAGGCUUCUUCGUGACAAGGUGAACGUGCUGUUAGUAUCGUAUAAGUUGGAUUAAACAUCACAUCCAUACAGCAGAUUGUCUGUCGUGCGUUAUGGAUUCAAUCGAGGUUUUACUAGUUAUUGGAAGGCCUUGAUCAUAGUUUAAUUGAUUUAUGGGAUUUUUAUUGCGACAUCUGUGUUUGUUGUAGAACAAUGUCUUUUGACAAUCUCCAACAGUAAGCAUUUCGCCUCUGUGGUUAGUGACAUAUGGAGAUGAUGAAAUCAAUGAGCACGAUGGUUUUAGAACCACAGUAAAUGGACAAUCUUGGGGAAUAAGGGAUAUGAUACAUGGAUAUGCUACUAGCAGUGUAGGGUCUUAUGGUGGAGUGUAAAGUUCUUACAUUCCUGAUGCUCAUGAAAUAAGGAAGGUUCUUAUUGAUUUUAGUUCAAUUACUAGAGUGUUUGUAACUGUAGAUGAGCUAAAUUACUAAUUAAAUAGCUAUGGACAUGACUGCAGAAAUUUUGGAAGUGGAAAUAAUUCAAAAUUUGAUUGUGAUAUAUCUCUCCAGAAAAUAGAGGAUGUUCUGGUGGUUGGUGAAUUAUCUCAUGACAUAAACAGAGCAUAGUUGAUGUCGUGUACCUAAUCUCCUUCUUAGUAUUUAGAUGAACAGGACCCAACAGAGCAUAUAUAUACAUAUAUAUAUAGAUAGAUAGAUACAUACAUAUAUAUAUAUAUAUAUAUAUAUAUAUAUAUAUAUACAUACAUAUACUUUACUGAAUUCAUGUUCCAUGCACAUAUGGGAAGAUUAAAAGCAUAUCAUAUGAAGACUUUGUGGGCAUCAUUAUAAUCUGAUUUAUUAACCACUGGAUCUGAUGAACAUUGGAAUUAUUGUAUCAGGUUGGAUGUAUUCACUUCAAAAUGCUUUGCUACAAACACUGAUGUUGAUGGUGACAAUGUAGCAGCUGAGAAUACAGUUGCAGAAAAUCCUAGGCCUCUUUCAUCCAGUUGCUCAAUAUCAGUUCAUCUGAAAUCUGAUAUUCUUGAUUCUAUACCUUUAGAUUUGUCGAGCAAAAAGACAGAUGCAAACCGUGUCUUCACAAACCUACAUGUAUAGUCUCUCUCUCUCUCUCUCUCUCUCAUUCUCUGUGUGUCUAUCUGUACAUCUGCUUACAUCAAUUACAUAUUUUAAAGCCCUGGCAAUAUUUGAUUAUGCUUGUCGGUUAUUCAUCUUCAGUAUUUAUUAGCUUGAAACUUUUGGAACCUCACUUUCAGGUUUUAUCCAAAAGAGAGCAAGAUGCUCUAGCAGCUACUCCAACACAUCCUACAAGUUUAUAUGGUAGGUUCAAUCUUCAAUUAAAGAACAAAUGCUAAAUGUCAUUUCUUUCAUGAUAGGAUAGAAUUUGCAGUUUUGCACCUUAUAUAUCCAUCUUUAUCUGAGAACAAUAUAUACAGAUUAUGUUAUUUUUUGUUACAAUCAAUAAUCUCGUUGUUGGUAAAGAUCUAUUUGUUGGUAUUUUUAUAUUGGAGUCAAAUUUUAAAUCUAUGCUAUGUUGACAUGUAGUUUUUAAAUGAUCCUACAGGAUUUAAUUUAAAGUAGAAACUGGAAUAUGUGUGAACUUUUAUAUUCUAAAAGGCAAAGUCUGAUUACAUCAUAGUGUUUAUUACAAACAGACCUAUAUUGAGGAUACAACUGCUACUAUCAAUCUAACACAGGUUGAACAGUUCCACUAGAAAAUCAUAGAAUUACUGAACCUUCCCUCUGUUCACAAUAUCCCAUUUUAGUUACCAAUUGGCAAGAUGGUUUCCUUCUCUCAAAAUGUGUGUGAUCUUAACAUGAGCAAACUCUUUUAGGGACAGAUGUGUUUUGAAGCUAAACACAUUUAGUCAUGUCAAUCCUCUCCUCUGAACUCCUUCAAAAUUGACCAUUGGAAAACGCUCUUCAGGGGAAGGUCGCCAGGAGAAAAUAGAAGAAUUCUGAUGUUCUGAUUCUUUCCAAGUUGUUCCAUUUUCCUUCAGGUAUUGACUUAAUAUCAAAAUAUUCUUUAGCAUGACUGCAUGCGUAGCAGCAAGAGAGUGUGCCUGAUCAAGGGAAAUAAACUUUCUUCCACAUAUUAGAACAUUCUUCGCUCUUCAAAUACCUCGAAGAAGACAUGCAGAGGCCAUUUUUGUUUGACAUGAAGCAAAACAAUGAGCAAGUAUUUAUAUCCAUGGCAUUAAAAGGCACACCAUGGAUACUCAUGAACCUUUUGAUAGUGCUCAGCAAAUGGCAAUUGAACUUUGGGAUACAGUGCGACCAACUGGUUCCUCCUCACUUACACCUUAGGCUUAAACCAUUCACAUUCAGCCAAGUAGGUGAAAGGUAUUUCCAUGUUAGGAUCCUCUCCCAACAAGCCUUCCAAUAAAUGAUCUCGUAUGGUUAGCUUAUUUAUAUCCAUUUCAAAGGUAAGGAACCCUCCACCUAAGCACCCAAGGAAACAAACUGCUACAUAUAAGUCUCUGGCACACUUUUGCAUGUUAUGCAUGCUGCAGCCUGAUCUAUCGAAAUAUCAUGCAUAGUCAGAGGUAUGUUGAAAAUCCUCAUAUAUUUUGGAUGAGCCAACCUUGUUCGUGCAGUAAGUUCACCAACUUCCAAUCAGAGAAAUGAGCUAGGUUCUUGUGAUAGAGAAUUCAAAAUCAAACAUAUAAUUGACUCCCAGAUAUUCCUUAUCACUGGAGUGUUUGGUAACCAAGGGUGUCCUGGUUUAUCUGCCUUUCCAGUAUCAAAUUGAAAUACAAGGAGAAUCACUGUCACACCCAAGCAUAAUGAUAGGGCAGCCAAGAUUCUUUGCUUUUAUGCUUGGCUGAUAUAUAUCUGUUCCAGAGACUGAGGAUCUAAUACAAGUUUUGCAGACAGCAUUUCUCAUCGGUUUAAGCUGUGAAAUUCAGAGUCCCUCAAAAUCCUUUUUGCAAUUCCCAGAUUCGAAAAAUUAGACCAUUAAAAUUUUCCCCUCCGCAAGAGAUAACCUUGGUGCUUCUUUCCAAGUUCAUAGGAGAUUGUUUGGAGAAAAACAGGAUGCAGAGGAUACCAAAAAUUGAUAAGAAUAUAAUAUUCAUGCAGUAAAUUUGUUGUUGAACUUAUUAGAUAUUCCAAUCAUCUGAUUAGAUAAAGGCCAACAUCUGAGAUAAUUUUCUUAGCUUAGCAGAUGUGCCAGUUGGAACCCAUCUCCUUUAAUAUGACCUUCCCUCUUGUAGCUCUCUAUUUAUCAACCUAGAGAGUGAUUGGAUUCCCAGUAAACAAAUAAAAGAAAUACAGGAUUUUAAUGAUGGAGAAAUCUUUUGAGUGUGACAUUGUGCGGAGGAAAUACACUCCAAAAACCAGUAACUUCGAACAUUACCCCAUAUCACUUAGUAUCUUAUUAGAGAGCCUGGAUGCUUCCUAUCAUAAGCUAUCUCCACGUCAAGAUUUUCCAAGUACAUUAUUUUAAAAACACUAUCAUGCUUCAGAGAAUGAAGACCUGAAGUGCUAAAAAGCUAUAAUCACUUGUACAUAUUUCAGAAAUAAAUGCUCUAUGUUUAAUUGAGAUCAUCUUAGGAAGAACAGGUGUAUCAUGGUAGCCAAUCAUUUUGUAGAAAUUGUUGCACAAGUUGAUAGCCUAUUAAUUUUUGUCUUGGAUGUAUUUUCAAUCUUUAGCAAUAGAAAUCAGCUUUGAAUGAACAUUUGCAUGCUCAUGGCAUAUGUGGCAUAUGAAUAGUAGUGAAUAAGCAUUUAAUGCCAGAACAUUUCUUACUCUUAAUGGUAGGCCAAAAAGCCUUGUGAAACAAACCUUUGCAAAACACUCGGUGUUUGGAUAGGGUGAGUUUUAGCGACAUAUCUUUGUGAAUCUUGUAAACCUAGAUCAAGCCAUCACAAGAUGUCUGAGACUUCAAUAUUACAUAUCACAUGCUACAGAAGUAAGUUCUUGAAAACUACAAUGCCAUUAACCCAUCUACAAAACAAAACCCUCAAUAAGAAUAGUCCAAAUAGUAGUGACUCAGUUUCAGAGAAUAUGUAUAAGUUAUUGAACAAAGGAAUAUGUGAUUCAUGUAGUAAGCCGAUAUCUCUAGUAUAUGCAGGCAGUCUAGGCAAAUAUUAAAAGAAAUUGCAUUGCAGUCAUUGAAUUUUGUCUUUGAAUUGAGCAACAUAAUUCUUUAUGCAACUUACCAAAAGAACAUAAUAUUUUUAUGUUCGCAGCAAUUUUGUCAGCAUUGAUAUUAAUAUUUAGUUGUUUAUGACUCUAAAGUGCAGUUCUAUAUGCUAUCUCCUUGGUGGGAAAUUUAGUCGAACAACUCUGGAACUUCGUUUGGCCUGCUGCUGUUGCAAUUGUUCAUCCGAGUCUUCUGCCUGUGGCUGUUGUGGGUUUCUUCACAAAGGUAUUGAAAAUUUUGACUUUUCCUUGAAUAUUCAAAGAAGGUUGUGACUGUCUGACUGACACAUUUCAUUAUACACAGCUAGCCAUUUUUGUUGGGGGCCCAUUGGUUGGUAAACUUAUGGAUUGUUUCCCUAGAGUUCCUGCAUAUCAUAGCCUAAAUGUUAUUCAGGUAUUUAGGUGUCCUUGUUACCUUUGUUAUGCUUUAGAUCUUCUCCUUUGGCUAGUAAUAACUAUGAGCCAGGGAAAUUUUCCUUUGAACUUUAUGGUUCCUUGUUUUUAAACUUUUUGUCAAUGAUCUUAUUAUGUCAGACAGCUGCUCAGUUGUUAUCAGCUAGUAUGAUCAUAUAUGCACUAAAUAAUACCAUAAAGCAAAGCUCUACAUCUUCUGUAAUUCUCCAACCUUGGUUCAUGGUACUCGUUGUGGCUGGGGCAAUUGAAAGGCUUGCAGGCUUAGCAUUGGGGGUCACGAUGGAGCGUGAUUGGGUUGUUAUGGUAAUUUGGAUGAUUUGCACUUGUUGAUUUAACAAAAUUGUGAAAAUCAUAUAAGCUAAAUUUCUUCUUUGUUUCCCCUGUUUUGCUUCUCUGGAAGUUAGCAGGCAGAAACAGGCCAGUUGCACUUGCCCAAGCAAAUUCUGUACUUAGUCGAGUUGAUCUUCUUUGUGAGGUAAACAUUACUACUGUCAUGUAAAAUCAAAGAUUCCAAUUCUACAAAAUUUUCAUGAUUUUUUUUUCUCAUAUAUAGACUGUCUGCAGAUAGCUGGUGCUUCACUCUUCGGCAUUUUGUUGUCAAAGUACAAUCCAGUGACAUGCUUAAAACUUGCUUGUGGUUUAACAAUAUCUGUGCAACCUAUUCUGGUAAGUUUUCCGUAUCCUUUUACGAGUAUAUUAAUUGCUGAUUAGAAUUCCUUCUUUCACUCAUUUUGUGUUUAUUUUGCAGGUUAUCCUGGGUCAUGUUAUCAAUUCACUUUCCAGUGGUGUUCUUGAUUGCUCAAGAUCUGGCGUUAAACCUGUUGGUUCAUCUUCUUUGUUUGAUGCCAGGAAGAUCGGUUGGACUACUCAUACUCUAUGACGACUAUUUUUCAUAUCUCAAAGGUUAUAUUUAUGGAUAUGUCUAACACUUAGAAAAUAUGCAGUUGAAAAUGGACUAGAUGCGUUUGGACAUGGCUGGAAGGAAUAUAAGCAUCAGCCUGUGCUUCCUGCAAGUUUGGCAUAUGUGCUUCUUUACUUCAAUAUUGCUUUAGCACCUGGUGCCAUAAUGACUGCAUUCCUAGUACAUCAUGGUAAUUAUAACUCUUUAUUAAGAACCCUACACUUCUGGUGGAGAUCCAACUUUCACAUGAUUUUUGAACCCAACAUUUUUUUACACGAUUAGAUUCUUAUAUGUUAUUUAGUCUUAGUUUUAAAAUUUAAAUUAUUAUUGUCUGAAUUCUAUCACCAUUAUAUAACACAUCUGUGUCUAGAUAAGACAUUCUGUUAAUUAACAAUGUAAGAUCUGAAAGUAGGAACCACUGCUACAUUCACAAACAAAUAGCCUCCUAAAAAGGCAUGGUAAAUCAUUAUAAGCUACACUAACUAGACAUUCACAUAGAAAUAAAUCGGUUUUGCUGCAUCGAGUGCUAGCUUUUGGAGGUUAUGGUUGUGGUUGUCAUUAAUGUGACCAGAAAAUUUGUGCUCAUUCAGAAGCUGUAAACAGCCUAUGUAUUUGCACUCACUUGAAUGAAUGUGACCCAUGAAGUAAGAAUGUCUAUGAUGGUUGAGUUAAAUCUCUUAUUCAGAAGCAAAAAUGUUGUCACAGCAACAAAGAUAGUGUCCCAACUAUUUGGGUUCUGCCACACCUUUUGGUGAAUGCAUCUGCCUCCACAAGUCUGCUGACAAGGUUGCAAAUAAAGUCCUUGUCUGAGGGUCUAGAGAAGCUAUUAGGAAUGCAACAACUUUUCUAAAUAAAGUUCGCCUUAUUUUCUUCAAAUGACAAUGACACAAGGGUUUAUGUUCUCAUUCAUUUAGUUGAAGAUGUCUAAAAACUCCCAGUAGUCACACCCAGUGAUGAUCAUGACCAAAGAGCCUCCUCCUGGCUACUGAUAAAGUUACUUUUAUCUAUAGAUAGGUUAUUGUCUUUUUGUCUCUUGAUGAAGUCAGCUUUUCUGUGUUCAUAUUUAAUCCACCAAAUGAAUCUAUUGACUCAUCUCCUGUCUGAAAGACUCUUAAUACCUACUAAAAUUUAAUCUGGGUAUAAAAAUCCUAGGGUAUAAAAAUCCUACUCUUAUUGUUCAUAACAAGAAAAACUUAUAAGUUAGGAGACAUAGGGAAGUUUCACAUGGUUCAAGUUUGCCAUGUAUAGAAGCGAUCAGUAUCUAACAAUGAUUGAGAGGGAGAGAGAGAGAGAGAGAGAGGCAUGGAGGACAGGGUGGUUGAGGAGGUGGAGCUGAAGGUUGAGGACUGGUGCCAUGUUGUGUGGCAAAGGAGGUAGUGACCUGGGCAAACAGCAAAAGGAGAAGAACCAGCAGCACAAACAGAAAAGAGAAGAAAAAAAGGUUUAAAGGUACGGCAGGUUACCAACCGAUACAGCUCAAUAUCAAUCAUCUUAUUACCUGGUAAGCUUGCCUUUGGACCAUACAGGGCCAAUCUGUACAUUGGUCAGCCAUUUGACCGGUUAGAGCCAGUCCAAAUCUAGUGGUAUGGUUGAAACAUUAAUCCUUGGUGUCGAAACCAUCCGGAGGCUAAAAGCCCUCUAUGGUUGCACCUAUGAGAUAGUCUGACUAGAGAACAUUAAUGUAGCUGCGGUCGUAAGUCACCUUCUCUUGAGGUUAGCAAAAUUAAUAACUUGAAAUGGAAUUACUAAAUCACCUACUUAGGGAUAAAGUUGGAUUUUUUUUCUGAAUGUUUGGAUACCAAAUGCAGGAAUUUAUGGUUGUCCUAUAGACAUUCAUUGGGAUUUUUUUUCCAAAUGUUUGGAUGCCAAAUGCAGGAAUUUAUGGUUGUGUUAUAGGCAUUCAUUGGGAUGAUUGCUGAGCCAUCUAUGACUGCAAACUGUGUCUGGAUACCAAACACAGGAAUCUUUUGGUUCUGCUAUAGACAUUCAUUGGGAUGAUUGCUAACCCUGUUUGUGGUUGAAAACAUAUUUGGAGGGAUGCUGAGAUAAGGAGGCCAUUUAUAAUCUACAGUUUAUUACCAAGGGAUAAAGCUGAUUUGCCGACUGGAAGUUAACUAUUGGUUUUGAUAGUUGCAAUCACUGAGAUGAAUGCCUAUGAUGGCCAUCUACUCAUGCGUAAUCAUAUGAACUUGCUGAAAACAACCUUUUUAAGUCUGUAAAACGAUGCUUCUCUUAUUUCGAAGAUUGAAAUGCUAUGGUAAAUUAUGGCCUACACUUUAAGAUAGUCAAUUUUGCUGUAUUUGGAAGCCCCUGAGAGCUAGGAAUUGUCAUGGCAAGGUAUUAUCUACUGAGAGUCAAUCAUGCUUGCUCAAUUGAAUGUAAGGAUACAUGAUAGAUGAGUUGGGUCAGAUCUGUUUGCUGUUUAAAUCGCAGUUUUGAGAAACUUUUGCUUGGCAUGAAACAAACUGCCUCGCCAUGGAUGAAGGCUUUACCGUGCAACUAACUAAAUGGAUCCUAAUUUGAAGGUCAAGCUAAGUGAUCCAUAUAUUCAGAUUGUUGUGGCUCCUUUUAUGUUUUUUUCCUUGCAUCAGCAUUGGUUACUCAUAUUCUACUCAGUCAUUAAGACCUUGUUCUUGCUACUGUGACUUAUUUUUGGUUUUGUAGAGAACUUAAGAUAUAGCAACUGCUAAGCUUAUAUAGCUGGGCUUUUGGUCGGAUAUUUUGAUUAUAUGCAUUUACCACAGUUGCAUCCAUGGUUUUUGCAGGGAUAAAUCCAUCAAUUAUUGGUGGAUUCAGUGGAUUAUGCUCUAUCAUGGGUUUUGCUGCGACGUUCAUGUCUGCAAGUCUAGUAAGACAGCUCGGCAUAUUAAAGGUUGCAAUUUCUUCUAUGGUAUUUUGAUUGCUUUCAGACCUCUUUUCUAGGAACACCAUCUAAAAAUGUAUCUCUUGUACCAGGCAGGAGCUGCUGGAUUGAUUUUUCAGGCAUUUUUGCUCACAUUAGCUGUUUCUGUGUAUUGGGCCGGUUCUAUUACUCAGCAAGCUAGACUACUAAUUUUUCUCUCCUUGAUUGUAAGCAUCAUAGUAUCUUUUCCCUUGGUAAUUCGUAAAAUUACAUAGCGUAAUGAUAUGGUUCUGCCACGUUUGUUUUUUGUUCAGUUAGAUUCAACCUUUUGCAGGGAACAAGGAUUUUACUGCAUGGUGUUUUUUUUAUCUUUGUUUUCAACAGGUAGUGUCACGAUUGGGCCAUAUGUCAUAUGAUGUUGUGGGGACACAGAUUCUUCAAACGGGAAUUCCUACUGCCAAAGCAAAUUUGAUAGGGAUAACAGAAGUUUCAAUGGCCAGCCUAGCUGAACUUCUGAUGUUUGGUGUAGCAAUAAUUGCAAAUGACGUUUCACAUUUUGGUUUUCUGGCUACACUAUCUGUGUCCUCGGUUGCAGUAGCUGCCUUGAUUUUUUGCUGGUGGUUAGCUAAUCCAACAGAUGGUCAGAAAAAGCUCUUCAAGUUUGAUGCUCCACUUUAAUGCUUGUGAGUUCUCUGUCACAUUUUUGUUAUCUCAGCUUCAUUGAGCAUUGUUCUCUUUUACUUGUGUGGCUCUAUCUGUUCCUACUGGUUAAAUAUGGAUUGAAGAUUCUCUGAAUGCAGAUUGUAGCAGAGUUAUGUUGGAGUCUGUAAGGCAGCAAGCUUUCUUCCUGCCUCUGAUCUCCAGUCUGGCAUUUAGUUAUCACCUGGAGAAUUUUUUAGGUGCUUCAGCUGGGAAUGAAAUGACUGGGCAUAAAUUUGGCUAUGGAGCUCCUAGACAAACAUCAACCAAACACUUCCAAUAGCUGGAAAUACACAAGCCUAAAUGCUGCUUCACAUUCUACUGAGUACUACUAUUUGAGUUCUUGAGAUUAAACUUAAUCAUGUGUUUGUUCAAUGAUUUCAAUCUUGAUUUCAUAGAGUUUUUUCUUUUGAAAAAAAUCAACACAUUUUGUUAUCACAAUUGGCCAUGUAUAUAUAACAACCUGAGUAAAGUCUUUGGUGACCAAAAUAAAUACACAACAUGUCUCACUCGCCAUAGAAAUUGGAGCAGUUUGACCAAAAAUUUGCUAGAAUAUAUGCUAUGUUAACAUGUGGAAGUAGAAAACAGAACAGAAAAAAAAUUCAAGUAGUGAUCUUGUUUGCAAGUUGUACUGAUAUCAGAAAAUUGUGAUUAAUCUUGUGCACUUGAUUAAUUUUGUGGAAAGAGAUCCAAACUUUGUCAUGUGUAAAUUCUCAGUAUGAUUUUCAAACUUUGAAUUGUUUCUGAUGCUGUUGGGCUCUUUCUUGGUUAAACUGCUUUUUCUCGAGCUGUUCUGUGCUAGAAACUACUGGAGGAUUUCAUAUCUUCACAAGCUGUAAGUUAUUUCAUUAUCUGAUAAAUGUUGCUAAUGUUGACAUGAUUUUUUUCUGUGACUUGAAUAACCAAUGUGAAUAAGGCUGAUACAAUUUUAUUCUCGUAAAUAAGAAAAAGUAUUUCUAGGAGCAAUUGUUGAUUUAAACGCAGUGCUGACAUAAUUUUAUUUUUACCAAUAAAAUAUAUUACAUUUUUAUUCAAAAAUAAUAUAGCAUAAUGUUAUCCUAUGGGCUGUGCUAUGACAUGAUGCUAUUGUCGAGGUUGGCCACAAACGAUAUGUAUCGUGGCUUCCGAUGAGCUGUCCCUCUUUUAUUGGGUGACAAAAGCUGUUUGCUCUGUGGGAAGCAACGCCCUUUUUCUGUUAUUUACACGCGGAUGUCCGAUGUUCGUCAACCAAUCUUCCUAUAUAGGCACGAAAAAAGAAGGGGUGUCUUUAUCAUCACCACGCUGGUUAUUUGGGCCGCCUCGUCGUUUCUCUGCUCGCACAGCUCUCUUUCAUCGCUUCGAGGAGUGAGGACGGCGGCCGAUCGGCGCGGUUCUCGCCGUGCAGCGGUGUGAUGGCGACCAUCUCAUCCUCGUCAACGUCCAGAAGGAGGGCCACUACGAAGAGGGCGAGAUGCAGAUGCAGGAGACCACCGGAUCUCGUAUGGAUCACAUUCUCCCCAAGUUCUUUUCUCCCCAUCCUUUCGCGUCCCUCUUUCUUCCUCUUGGUUUCAUUGGUUCCAUCUGUGCUAGUCGCGAGAAACUUUUUCGUUUUAACGCCUCCUCGGUGUUAACCCGAUCGGGAUAAAUCGAGGAUAGCCUUAGUUGGGCUGCACGGAAGAAACCCCAGCUGGAACGAAUUGUUGGAUCGGGCGCUUAGAGAAUGAUGGUUGAACUGGAAAAUCAUUUUGUUCUUUCAAGAAAAUUGACCAAAUUAUAAUGGGCUAAGAGAUUCAGAACUGAAAACCCUCAGGUGCUACUAAAGUGUUUGAAUUGUUUGCGUUUUAGCCUUUUCUAGAUUGUACCUCUAGGAGUUUCCUUCCGUGCGGUUCAUUUCUCGUGAUUGUUAUCACACUUUCAUUCUAUGGUGUCGGCCAUAACCCUCUACCUGUUUCAGCAAGUAUUCAAAUCUCUGUAUUUAGUUGGUGUUAAAUGAAGAGUUGGUUCUAAAUGCUAAAAGGUUAGUGACACUGAUAAGAUUAUAUUUAGUUUCAUCGGUUGAAGAAUUGGUGAAUGCUUAAUAAAAGUUCAAAUUUGACUCCUCUCCCAUAUGCCCCCAUGUAUGACUGCUUUCUGUCAUGCACAUUUUGCGGAACCCACACUAGAGCAGACAAUUCUUCAGGGUUAAUUUUCAGAGAAAUAAUGAUUUGUGUGGACCUUAUCAAAUGACAUCUACCGUGAGCCACGAGGAACUGUCAAUGGGGAGAAGUGUCAUUGCUUCUAGGUGGACCUCGCGUGGUUUUGCUAAAAAAGGUAGACCGAGGAAAUGAAUUGCAUUUGGUCUUUUAUUAGGUCUUGGUUCUCCAACUAUCCUAGAACUGAAUAUGGUUUUAUUACACAAAACUUUAGACACUAAACUCUCAGCUUAAUACCAAUGCAAAUCAAAAUGUUUAUUUAUCAUAUAUUUGUCUUCAAUAUUUUUUUUUCUUUUCAUGUAAAUUUGUGAGCUGUCUAGUUUAAGUUAGCAAUCAUGGAUCCACAAAAAUUUAAGAAAACCAACUUUUUUGAAAAUUAAAACUCUAUACAAUUUUGAUUUGCUGAUUUCGAGAUGGCGAAAUAAAUGCACACAGGAUCUUUACCCUGUAUACGUAUCCACAUUUUUGGAGGGUUCUAAAGCAUUUUUGUUCUUUUAAUUGCCCUUGGUGCACAUUUUCUUUCACUUGGUUCAUUGUUUACAUACUGAACAAGGAAAAGGUUGUGACAUACUAAGCAUAUAUCGAAAAUGAUUGUCUCAGGCUAAUGGAUCUCACUUUCCAAUUUGCUUUAACUUUUUUCAUAUCUUUAUAACUUUUGAAGUUGAACACAUAGUGUAAAAUAUAUGGUACUGGUUGUGGCAGUGAUCUCACUACUAAUCCAUAUAAAUCUUUAGCUGGUUUGGUAAUGGUUUUAUUUGGCUCUGCAGAAGCAUUUGUCCACACUAACAGAGUUAUCUGACCCUGGUACCCCAAAGAAAUAUGGGGUGAAGCCUGAUGCUGAAAACUUGGGACAUACUCAGCACUCUUUCCAGGCAAAAGGAGGUGAUCUAUUUCUGAGUUUUUUACAAACCUGUUAAUAGAAAGAUGAUUCUUUGCUAAAAGUCAAGAGACUUACUGCUUGUAACUUUUCAGAUUGUUAUUGUGAUGAAGAUCCACAGGAGAGAGACUGGUGAAAAGAUAUAUGAAGCUAUCGAUAGUAUUCCUCUAAGCUGUUUGGUCACUGGGAAUAGAGGGUUUGACAAGAUCAAGAGGUCAACAAGAUGUCCUUUUGCUACUAACAUUUUGUUUGUCCAAGUGGUUAAUGAGUAUAGCAACUGUCCAUUUACUGAAUCAUUUGAGAGUAAUGAGUAAUCCUCCAAUUUUUUUCUGUCCUCAGGGUGCUUUUGGGUAGCUUAACUACAUGGUGAAUAAUGCUACUUGCCCAGCCACAGUUGCAAGGAGUGCUGAUCCUGAAAGUUAAACUCAUCUGUUUUGAUCUUCUGCAGCAACCUUGCCGGUUCCCUUUGAUAGCAGAUAAAGAUUUCCUCAACUGCAUGAGGAAAUCUUUAUCUGCUAUCACCCUUGGGCGCAUAUUUCAUGCAGAGCUCAAGAUCACCUUCCACCAAAUAAGAAACUUGGUUGUUCACGAAAACUUGUUUGACAAGGUUGUACUUGUAAGUUAUGAUGUCUAUACACUAAUUUCCCAUUGGCCACAGUUCUGCUAUGUUCAUUUCUAUCGUUGCAUGUUAAAUCUCUUCCUCCCUCAUUGUUCGAAUCCUAUGUUUAUAGAACUUCUUAUACAGGUGUUGUUGGUGGCCAAAGUGUGAGAUGCGGAACAUGAAGAUUCAAGCUGAGCAUGUGAGCUUAAUUUCUAUGUCAUGUUCUAUUUCUUUGUUUCAUCAGUGUUCUACUCAAAUGUUGCAGCAUAAGAUUCUGUAGUUUCCGCAUUGCAUGUUCUGUGCCAAAUGUCCAACUCCCAUGUUUUAUUUCGUGCCAAAUGUUUCUUAUAUUUACAAUAUUUUUUCCCCAUGUUUCAUACCUUAUCAGGGAAUUCACUAUGAACAACAUAUAAGAACAUUUUCCUGCCAUUAGCUCCAUGUCUUGCUUGUAAGGGUGAACCAUGUCAUUGAGCUCAGACCGACCAAAUGUGUUGUGGUUUCCUGAGAGAAAUUGGGCCUUUUAUCUUUCAUACUGAGGAUUACAGUUCCCUUCUUAUAUUUCCUAAUAUUCUUUAAGUUAGAUCAAAAUAUUUUCUAAACCGGAUCUAAUACACCAAAUUUUUUCUAUUUGAUUAUCGUUGGGGGUUAAAAAGGUUAAUUAAAGUUUAUCUUAUGUAAUUAAUUAUUUUUAGUAUCUUGGUUUAUACACUUUUACAAGUUAUAUUGGGAUUCAUAUGUGUUGUCGAAAAUAUCGUAUGUGUUGAUAAAUCAAUGUGAGAUAGAGUCGGUAUGUGUUAAACUCUAUGAUGUUUCUAUCAAUAGAAUCGAUGAUGUGAGGAGAAACAUGAUUAAAUAUUUUAUUUUUAUAAGUAUAAGGAUCUUAAUAUAAUUUUUGUAAAUAUAACGAUCAAAAUGUUAAAGAUAAUUAAUUACAGAAGAUAUUCUAUAAUUAAUUAGCUCGAGUUUAAUCAUGUAAAUAGAUACCUUAAUAAUUAUGUUAUAUCUACCAACAUUAUUUACAUCCAAAAUCUAUAUAAUCCUGCGGGGUUCUAUGAGGACUUUCGAUGUCCAUUUUUAACCCUAAAAAAAAAAUGCCUCCUUUGUUUUCAGGGAUAAUCUAAAUCAAGUAAACAAAGUGCAAGGAAAAAGGAGAGCCGGUCAAAAGCGUAAGAAGGGAAGAAGAAGAAGCGGGGCCCAUAGGCAGAGAGUCCAUUUCGAGACCUCUCUUACCUACCAACGGCUACCAUUCACCGUGCGGAUCCUGUUUCCGUGGACGAGCAACGACUCCUCCCUCCAAUCUCGUCCAUCCCCUCCUGUUCUUAUUCCUUCUCCGCCCCCUCCCCCAACACUGCUCUCCAUUCUUCCUUCAGCAGCUCCUCACGAUGAAGCCAGCACUGGCGCUUCUCCUCCCUCUCUCCCUCCUCCUCCUCCUCCUCCAUGCCUUCCCCCGUCCUGCCACCGCCCUCUGCGUCCCUCGCAACUCUUCCAACCCGAUCAACCUCGCGGCCCUCCCGCCACCUUCCGUCACUACCACCUCAAGCCCCGCGACGCCCUCACCAGCCCUGAAAUCGCCUUCAUCGCCCUCAAAUCCGUCACAGCUGCCGCCUUCCAAUACCACCCCAACCCCUGCGACACCCUCACCACCCUUGCAAUCGUCGUCACAGCCGUCGCAGCUGACACCCUCACCACCUGCCUUUUCGCAGCCCGCGGCCGCGGUCUCCACCCAAUUAUCCGCCCGCCACCCGCUUCUCAACCUGCUCCCCUUCGCCGGCGCCGUCAGCGCGCUGUGCGGCCACACGGACUACCCCGACGUGUGCGCCUCGUCGAUCCAGCCCCUCCCGCACCCGCCCGGCCUCGCCGGCCCUGCCGCCCUCCUGAAGCUGCAGCUGCAGGCGUGCCGGGAGCAGGCGGAGAAGGCGCAGGCGCACAUCGCGGCACUCGUCAGCCUCCCCGGCACGAAGGCGCGGGAUGCGAGCAGCCUCCAGGACUGCGACGACAACUACGACGACGUGAUCGACAACCUCGACGAAGCCGCGGCUGCCUUGGAGUCCAGGGACAAGGGUACGCUCAAAACCAUGCUCAGCGCCCUCGUCACCGACUUCUCCACCUGCGACGACGGGUUCGCGGAGAUUGCCAAGGUCUCGCCGCUGGCGGUCAUCGACGAGAUGCUCACCAAGUUGGCAAGCAAUUGCCUGGCGAUCGCGGCCUUGGUCUGAGCGGACCUCCCUGCUUCGGAGUCUUCUUCCUGCUCGUUCUCGUCAGUCCGUGCGUGCGCACGCGCAGUUCCAUUAGUUCCGAGUAGUGCAUGGAGAAGAGCUGAGCCCCGAUGAAGAAGAUGAAGCCUCUUCGCUGUUGUAAUUGCGUAGUGGGGUUUUGUUGCUCUCGUUUCAUGAGGGCUACCUGCGGAUGGUAACAUGUUUUGCCACAAUACAAUUGUAGUUGAUCUAAAGAGCGAGUAAUUAUAUGUAUACAAUAUUUUUAUUUUCUCCAUUUAACGAAUAUCAAUAUUCUUUUUAAAAAUAUUUAUUUAGUAAUAGCAUCAAAAGUAAAAGCCUAUACCUUAUUGUCAUAUAAUCGAUAUCUUAUCGUCGUUCAAAUGAUAUGAUACUUAAUUUAGGCUCACAAAAUUACUUACAUAAACUUAUAUUUUUUAGAUUCAAAAAGGCUUAGCAAGUACGCCAGGAGAGUCUUGUAGGAUUCUACUCAAACUCCUCUUCAUCCAAUAUCACUCCACUCAUAAAAUAUAUAUAUAUAUAUAUAUAUAUAUAUAUAUAUAUAUAUAUAUAUAUAUAUAUAUGUUAAAUUUUUUUUUUAAAGUCUCAAAGCUUGAAUUUUUUUCACGGAGCUCUCCAACUUUGAAUAAUUAUCAAAUAAUUUUUUUUAAUUAAAACAAUUAUUUUACUUUUAUUAACCAUUACUAUCUAUCAUGUCGAUCACUCUCCCUUGAUUAUCUAUGUCUUUUAUGCACAGGCUGAAGAUGUUUGCCUCUCUAUAUACAGGUUAAUCUCAUCGAUUAAUCCUUUCUAUGUAUAUAAUAUCCUUGAGAUUUUGGCGAGAACGAUUAGAGUUAGCAUGAGUGCUUAUGUCCACAUCCACAAUACUCCUAGGUUUAGCAAUGAUAUAAGGACAAUAAUGGAGAUAAUAUAGAGAAGAGGAGGCUACGAUUUAUUCAAUCAAAGUAUGAGUAAAACAAUAUAUUCAUGUGGCUAUAGGCGUGAAAAUUUUUCAAAGUUCGAACGUUCUAUGAAAAAAAUUUAAAUUUAAGAACAUAUAUAUAUAUAUAUAUAUAUAUAUAAGGCUUUAAUCGGGUUUCGGAUCCGGGACGGGUUAACUGAUAGGAAUACAACGGGAUGGGUUAAACGGACCUGUUUGGGCCGGGUCGACACGAAGGGAGCUGGUCUACACUCGGCCCUCGCUGAGUGGGCGGCUCUCCCUUCGCCAAACUAUAACAAUGGCACAAAGAGUUGGACGCCUGACCACAACCGUGGAGAAGAAGAGGUGGCCACGGACGGUGUUUUCCCGAUGGACGAAAAGGCGAAGAGGACACGAGAGCUGCUCGCCAGCUUCUACUCCACCGACCCCUCCGCCGGCGGUGGCGCUGGCGUCGGCUCCGCCGCCUCACCCCGGAAGAUGGCCUCCCCCGACUCCAUCAAUUCCCCCUCCUUCGAUCCCGACGUUUACAUGAGCCUCCUGGUACCGGAUCCUUCUUCCGCUUCUCCUCUCCCUCUCUCUUUGGGUUCUUUGGUUCCUCAUCCUGUCUGGAUCUGAUGUCGCGAACGUAUCAAAAAUCUUGGGCUCUUAUUGCGGUAUUUGAGUUGUUUGACUCGUAUUCCUUUCUGGAUCUAAUGGCGCUGUAAUGCUGUGGAAUCCUUUGAUUUCUCUUAGAUUUCCCCGAGAAUUUUGAACUCUCCCAUACGACUUUAGGUUCUUUGACUCGUAUUCCUCUCAGGAUCUAAUGGCGUCGUAAUGCUUCGUAGCCCUUCGAUUUAUUGUAGAUUUUCCAUCGAAGUCGUUAGGGAUGUUGGAAUUGUAAUUGAUGUAUGGCUUAUGGUGGUGGUGUCGGAGCCGCCUCCGCCCCUGAAUAGACUGCCUCCCUAAACUCCGUGAACUCCUUCGAUCCCAGCAGUUACAUGAGCCUUAGGCACCGGAUCUCUCUACCUUUGCGGGAUUACGGUCUACUUCUCGUCCUCUGGAUCUAAUGGCGUCAUUAUGCAUUGGAACACCAGAUUUCCCGUAUUGGAACCGUGAUAAGGUUGUGAAUCCGAAUUUUUUUACGGGAUUCAAAAGAUCUUCAUAUAGUGGAUUUGAUUUUCUUGAUUCUUGCCCUCAUGUUAGGCUCACUAGCAUUCAGCAGAGUUCAAAUUGUCAGUGACCUCUCCUAAGGAGUUCUAUUAGGCCUCUUGUUGGUCCUAAGAGUAUUCCUUCAAGAUGUUCUGAACCAUCAUGCUGUUCUUAGAGUCGAUAUGUUCAUCAUGGAGCGUUUGGUCUUGACUUUUCAGCUAAUACAUUGUGACUCUUUAAGCAAGCCGCUUUUGUCACAUCGUGAAGAAAACCGACACAACCUUUUUCUGUUUUUGCAUUUGGAAAGGCCACUUAAUUUUGUCCAUGUUAAGAGAUACAUAGACUGGGACAGACGAGAAGUUUACAAACUAUCGAAAGACAUACAGCUUCGAGUUUUCUCUUUUUAUAAACAUCAGAACAUAAUAUUUUUUAUUUCCAUUUUGUAACACUUUAUGUUUUAGUCAAUUAAUUAUUCACAUUUUGAGUGAAGAGUAAUAUUGUUGGUCUAAGGUUGAUCAUGAUUGCGGUUUUUUCAAGUUUUAGGUUCUUUGAGGUAUAUGAUACCACUCAAGUUAGAUAAUCCCAAAAGAUUUCCUAAGCAACUGGAUUAUCGAUGAAAGAUCUUGCUAUUGAAAUGCUUUUGAUGGAAUAAACUAAUUGCUAUAAUUUCAACGAACAGACUAUGAUUUCAGUGCCAUUCAUAGGAUGCUUUUAAGUAAGAGAAGCUUUGUGUAUUAGUUAGUCCAUCAACUAAGAGAAGCAUUAUUAUGCUUAACAAAGCUCAUUGGAUCAAGAACUGACAGAGCCGGGCAAUUGUUACCUGGAAAUAUAGCUGAAUAAUUUGUUUGGAAUGCUGCUGCAUACUAUUGUUUGAUAUGUUAGUAGGACAAGAGUGUUUCAUCGUAAUCCAGGAUGAUUUCUCAGAUUGGUGACUGUUUUUGAUAUUCAAUGCAUACUCUUUGUGGGUCCUUAUAAAUGCAAGUGAUAGGAUUUUGUGUAUAAAAGCAUAACAUAAGAUUGAGCUUACAGAUAUUUAUAUAUAAUAUAUAUAACUCUCAUACUGCAGGAGAAGUAAAAUGCGAAGCUAAAAUUAAAGGUUUCAAAUAUAAUCUAAUGGACAAUUUGCUUAGAUCAUGAUCUGUGUGCUCUCUGUACGAAAUAAUGUCCCUAGUAAUGUUGACAUCUUAGAAAAUAUGCACCGUCUGAAAAAAGUGCAAGAGAAGAACAGGGGAAGAAAGUCCACGAAACAAUAGAAAACAACAAAUCCAGCCAUCAGGGGAUGUGGGCACAUGAAUGGCACUAGAAAAGGAAAGAGAAAGAGAACCAUGGAAUGAGGUCAAACCAGGUGAAGUGAUAAGUAAUUUUUAUCUCCCUAACUGACACAAGGUCAUGCAUGUAGGCAAGUAUUACUGGAUUGGUAAGAGGAUAACCUGAAUCAUGAUAUUCUCAAAAUUGAUGGCAUUUUAUUUUGUCAUAAAGCUCAAUGUGUUCUAAAUCCUCGGAUUCAGGAAUUCAAUCGUUCACCUUUUCAAGAGAUAUGGUAAAGCUUGUCUCAUCAUGUAUGUGGACUCAAUUUAAAAAGUGAUGGCCACUACAAGUGAACAUAAGAUGAUUGCUACAUACUCAGGUGUUAUGUUUAACAAAAGGAUGAAAUUGUGUAGGCAAUCAGCUUUAGUUUAGUGGUAACUGGUGUUGCAUGAUUUGAGUGAACAAGUAUAUGUGGUCUAUGGUGGAGGAAUCAUGGUGGAGGAAUGUGAUUAAAUUCAACAUUUGCACUCUUGAUGACAGAGAUAAAUUGAUUUGUUGUGCAAAAUGCAACACCACUGUUGCAACUUCAUUCACUAGUUGCAUAAUGAUGCUGAUUUGAUGGUACUUAAAUUUUGCAAUAUGAUAUCAUAUGAUGAAUGACUUCUAUGAUUUCCUUUGUGCUUUCUGUAGGUUCAAAAGUUAAACUUGGAGGGACUUCUUCAGAAGCAUGUUGAGAUGGCAGCUGAAAUCAAGAAUCUUGAUACUGAUCUGCAAAUGUUAGUUUAUGAGAAUUAUAACAAAUUCAUUAAUGCCACUGACACUAUAAAAAGGUAAUGUUACUCAUUCGCUUACCAUAAUCUUGGUGUUACUGUUAUAUGGAGUUACUAUAUGUCCAUUUCUUAUAUUUUUUGCUGAGAUGGCUUAUUUAAGUUUUAUCCUUCCAUGAGAAUCAUGUUAAGCACACCUGGAAUACUUUUUUACUGAAUUGUGGUCUGCCUAAAAGGACAAAAUUGAAGCACCCAACUGGAAAAAGAAAGUUUAUACCAAGCUUCUAGUUGGUGCCGAAGCAAAAAUUUCAUGGUUAUGGUUGUCCAUUUGCUAGUUAAAUGUAAAAUUUCAUUUCUUUGAAGACUGAAUAGAGGUGCAGUCGUACAAAUUAUAAACUAUUUUGAAGGUUACUGAUGCUAUUUCAAAAUUUAGAGGGUGUAUGUGUAACAUCUUUUUGGGGCAUAAAGAAUAUUGAUUGAGUGUAUGAUUUCCUUACCAAAUUUAUUGAACUUGUGUUCUAAUCCAAACAAUAUUAGUAAUAUUCAACACAUAAAACACAUGCAAACAAUUAUGGGCCAAGCUAGUUUUGGCAUAAAUUUGUAUUUACCUAUUAAUGUGAGUUUACAGAAGGCGAAGAAGGAAUCUGAGUGUAUAUUGGUGUGCCUAUAAAUGUAGUUUUAUGCCAGCUCAAUAUUUAAGAGUUAAUAGUUGCGGUCAAACAUACAGGAUCUGAAAAAGAAAAAGAAAAAAAGGAAAAAAAGAAAAAGAAGAAAGAGAAGAAAGAGAAAAAAAAAAUGCAGGAUCUAAAUCACUACUGCACUUUGGAAGUCCGGUUCUUAUGCCCCCUUUUGUUGACAAGUUGUCUUCACACGCAAUCUUUUGUGGCUUCUUGUAGUUUUAGCAGACAUGUGAAGUCAACUUGAUUUGGAUAUUGCAUCAACUUUUCCAUUGUCUGUUUCUCCUUUCUCAUAUAUUUUAUUUUCUUUACAUCAUUUAUUGGAUUCUGAAGCAACACGAAUAGGAAGCUUGAUCAGUCUCAUAUUUUGUGGGUUUACUUUAGUUGUUUACUUGUUUUUGUGUAGUUACUGCUAUAUAUAAACUACUGUGCAUUUGGAAACAAUAAUGCUGCACACUAGCUUACUAAAGUUACUUGUAGAAUGAAAAAUAACAUUGUUGGCAUGGAGGCAAAUAUGGAGCAACUCCUUGCUAAGGUAUGCCUUUGUUGAAAUUUGGGCUGAAUGAUGACUUUCCAUUUAUCCAAAAGAGCUGAUUUAUUCCUUUUUGCUGCAGAUUACGUCGGUUCAAUCCAAGAGUGAUUUGGUGAAUACAUCUCUUUUUGAGAAGAGGGAACAUAUAGAGAAAUUGCACCGUACUCGGAAUCUUCUUAGAAAAGUUCAAGUAUGUUUUUGAAGCUAUUAACUUUUACUAGUAGUUUGAAAUUAAUUUUCUUGGCUUGGAACUAGAAGUUCUUAAAUGUAUUGGCUAUAUAAAAUUUUCUUGCACUUGAUAAUUUCAUAUUUGAGUGGUUAAGGUGUUAAGUGAUAAAAGUAUUCAAUGAUAUAUCUUGCUUGAUGUAUUUUUUUUGCUAACCAACUUAUGCACUAUGGAUACAGUAAAUUCGAUGAAUUUCUUUGCUUUUUCUUUGUGUCAUCUUUUGCUUGAAUAAGGUUUCUGAUAAUGGUCAUACAAUUUAUUUCAUCAUCACUGACUUGUUAAAAUCUGUAGCUUUCCUUGGUAUAUCUGCAUAAAUUCUUUGGCCUCUUUUAACUUAUGUGUAGCUCAUAAUAGUAAACCAAGCAAGAAUUAUGUUUUUUGGUGUAUAUUGUCUCUUUCUUUAUAAUUGUUCCAUCAUUCCAUGUUGAAAAAAAAAGUGAUGAAUUAUGUAUAGUUGAUGAAUUGCUUUUAUUGUUUGAGGCUUUAAGUUUUGCUUAUCGUAACAUAGAGUGCUUAGGUUACAGAUAUCUACAUAUAGAAAAUGAGAUUAGCUUGUGCAAGUAUCUUACCAGGUGCAUGAACACAUCCAUAGCUUUAACAUUUGUAAUUCAUAAUUGACCUGCUUGAGGUGUUUGAGAACAUGUUCAUGUAUGUUUGUUUUCUAUAAUUGCAGUUCAUUUAUGAUCUUCCAACUCGACUUGCAAAAUGUAUCAAGGCAGAAGCUUAUGCAGAUGCAGUGAGGUUUUUCAUUGGAUCUAAGCCUAUAUUUGAGGUAGAAUUUAAUCUUUCAAUUAAUUCAUAUCAUUUACUGUUUACUAAUAUUGCGUUAUUUAUUGUCAUUAACUUUGGUUGAUAUUGUUUAUGGCUGAUGUUGUUGCAAUUGUCUCUGGUUUACUAGGCAUAUGGGGAUUCAUCCUUCCAAGAUUGUAAGAGAGCAUCUGAAGAGGCAAUAGAUUUGGUUAUUAAGAACCUUCAGGUAACUCUAUGGACUUUAUGUUUACAUUGUUAAACUGAAUUAGUAUACGGAUCUAUCAAGAGACCAUUUUCUUUUAGUACCAUUCAUCUAUAUUUUCUAUGUGAAAUAUUGUGCAACCAAGGCCUGUCCCCGUCUCAAAUUGGAAUCUGAAUUUUUCAGUGAGGAAACCACAAUAGUGUGUAAAGGCUCAGUGUCAGUAACUAACUGAAAGUGACCAAUCAUUUCAUUGAUAACAGAAGAAAAAUCACUGUGGAUGGUCUAUUGCUGCAGCUUUCUGUAACUUAACCUUUUUCUUCCAAUUCUCUGUCACAAAAUUUCCUAGAGAACAACAGAUUCAAGGGAAAAUAAGUAGUUAAAAUCUAGUGCCUAGUUUGUACCACUUAAUUGGUUAUUCAUCAAUUUUUCUCCCUCCUUUGGGUUAAUUGCGUGUAUCUAUACUGGCUAAUCCAAGCUAAAAUGGUGGUCUGUAAUUGUUUAAAAACCAUACAUCAUGUCUGUGAUUUUGAUACCAGGAGUUCUUUUUGAGUAGGUCGUACAUUUCAGUAAGGUUUCAAGUUACUUCUUCACUAGUGUUGCUUUGAAUCCAAUGUUCCACAUUUCUUUAGAGUUUAGACAAAUGAAAAAUGUGCACAAUAUGACUAAGAGACCUCCAGAGCUUGGUAUCCAAUUUAUCAUCAAGGGUAUAUCUUCCUAGUGGUGUGCUCUACCUUUAUAAUCUGGUCAUUUGACUCUCCUUAACUCUCCUUUUGUUUUGGUGCUUAUACAUACAAAUUAGUCCAUAAGAGAUCUAUAGAUGCACUGGUAAAAUGAUAUGAAUCGACAAGGAUUAAAGGUGUGAAUCAAGUUAAAGUAAGAUCACCUCAGAACUAGUUCAACUGGGCUCGAUGGUUGGAAAAGGUCCAUCUGAUUGUUGUAUGUUUACUGAUUGAACGGAUGAUGUUAAAGACUAAUCUUGUUUUUUGUUUUUCAUCAGAUUCCGCCCUAUUUGGUGGAUGAAAUUUUUUCCACAAAACGUUUGUCGAGCUUUUAAAUUUCAAAAUAUUCUCUUCCUUUAUAAUCAGUAUUCAAAGUUUAUAGACAGCAUAAAUAUUGCUAUGGAAAACAUUAACAACCUAUAGGGAAAACAUUAACAACCUAUAGUUCCUUGCAUUUUGGAGGAGUGAGGUGGAGUAUACUCUGAAAAACUACAGAAAAUCACUUUAAAAUCUGCUGGUUGUCAAAUGUUAUCUGUCAGCAUGAAUAAAGUAUUACAAAGUAGAAAAAACUUGAAUUGGAUAAAAAAAUUGUGAUUUUUUUUCAAGCUACAUGCAAUAGUUGUUUUGGGAAUUAGAGUUAAAGAUAGGUUAAAAAGUUUUCCGUGAGAGCAAGUAUUUUUGCUCUUUCCUCUAAAGGUCUCUAAAUAAGCAUUUUGAUGCUAAUGCAAGUUUAUCAUCUGAGGCUAUGAACUUAAUACAUUGGAAUGGUUAUGCUGCUAGUAGAAGCUAUCUGUUUAAUUUGGUUCAUGUUUAGCAUCCAUAGCUUCUUGACUGCUUAUGUAUUGCCCUUAUAAAGGAUGAAAAAAGCCUGAGCAAGCUUUAACGUCAUAGGAACUUGCAUUGUUUAUAAGUAUUGACAUUUUAAUUUCUGAGGCACAUGAAUUUUUCUGGGUCUAUGUGCAAUUCUGUGUUUAGAAUGGCAAUGAUGAUUUCUGUGCAACUCUUCUUUUAAAGUAUAAGGUCUGUCUUCCCUGUGCUUGGGCAUACUUGGUCUUUGCUUUCUCGCAAGUGUCAGUAUAUUAAACAAAAGAUCUUCCAGUGAAGGAUGUUAGUGGCUUCAUAUUGGAAACCUUAAGCUAAUAAAAAACCAUUCUGUCUUUUGAACCACUGCAUCAAUUUAACUGGAGAUAUUUUUUUUCACAUGGUACCUACCUAGAUAAUUAGACAACUAGUCUAUAAGGUUUUUCAAUCUGUGUAUAGGAAAUUGAAGUUUAGAAGUUUUGGAAUUUUACCUACAAAAUUUGCACAUGUAUCAUUUAUUACUUGCUUUUGAGGGAAUGCCCUUCAUCAAUUGCUUAGAUUACUUGUUAUCAAGCAAUCUCAUUUUUUUUAAUUCAACCUCUUCUUUGCCUCCUGACUCUUGUGUAGCUUUUGACUCGUUUUAGAAUUAUCUUUUUUGUCAGUAUCUCUGGAUUCAAUGUUUUGAUUUGCAAGACAUGGAGUCAUAGUGAUGCAUGCUAACAGUCUUUGAUCUUCAUAAAAAAUGUGUUGCAAUUUUCAUAAGAUAUUUUUGGAUUCGUGAAUUCUGAAGACAAGUAAUUUCAGGCAAAAAUAUACUCGGAUUCUGAGCCUAUUGAAGCAAGAGCUGAAGCUGUUGUGCUUCUAAAGCAGCUGAACUUCCCUGUUGGUAUUUCUCCCUUUUUCUUACCUGUCUUCAAGUGUUAUUUCUUUCCUUUUUCUCCAGUUAUGCUAUUGCCUUUUGGUUUUCAUUCAUGAUUGAUCUGUUCAUUGUAUCUAUGAUUACUCAUGUCCCCAUAGGAGUUGGUCUUGAGUGGAUCACAGCACUUGUGGUUUUUUUCCUUUUACAUUUUCAUCGAGGAACCUGGGUUGGUCACACGUCACAGAAUAAGAUGCACUUAAUGCUUUAUGUAUUAGUUGAUUAUAUGCUGUAUACUGUUAUAAAUUGGCUAAUUGAGCACUCUAUUUUCUUAGGAUAACAACAUCCUGAUAAUAUAGCAGCUAAUCUGUUUAUUAUUGUUUCUCAUUAUUUUAAUGUCAUUCUACCAGCUAUUAGAUAUGUUGUGGCUAAGGAUUGGCAUUCCAUGUACAAAGCUUUUUAUGACUGUGUUCAUGUGUGGGUCAUGAUGUACCUUUCCGAUAGGGUACUGAUAUGAGCAUGGCAUGAUGCUCAUGUCACAACAUGUGCCAUGCUGAUUGGUGUCGGGCAUGCCAACCCCUGGCAACAAAACUAAUUUUAUAGGAAAGAGUGAUAUAAAAAGAAAAUGUUAUGAAUAAUGGUCAGAUUUGUGUAACAUGACAAAUUUACCAAAGCAGAAGCAUGAACCCUGCUGACCUAUGAAGUAUGAACAAAGGCCAUCAAAAUUUACCACAAUCUCAUCUCUAAUAACAAAUAUAUGACACAAAUUUGGAUUUACCAAGGGUUUUCUUUUGUCACAAGCAGUUUGAAAUCAUAAUCCAUUAUACUCUUGAUUCUCUAAGUGCAUAGUCUGAAAUGUACAAGUAAAGUCACUGCUUGAAGAAAUAAGAACUAGAAAUCUAGGAGUUUAAGAUGAAUGGAAACUACUUUGUCAAAUUAGUUUGUCUUAUGUUUAAUUCUUAUAGUCUUAUGUUGUUUUUUGUGUCAGGAAUCCACUAUAUGCAAUCCUUUUUCUAUUACAUUUUUUGCAACUUUAGUAUGUUGAAUAAAGUUGCUGAGAUAGGAACAUUGAGGUGAUUGUGUUGAGGAGGUGUAAUGAACAUGUGCUAGUGAGAUAGUGGGAGACCAAUACUAUCGGUGGUACUAGGAGAUAGAGGGAGACGUGAGAAACUUUACUAAAAACUAUAAAUAAAGAUUUAAAUGCUCUUAGUUUAAUUAAGGAUUUUGUUUUUUUACAAAAGUCAUUGGGCAUAUCUUUUCAAAGAUACAAUAACCUACGGCCCAAAUAGUUGGGACAUUGAAGCUUGUUGUUGGUGCAGUACCUCGGAUAAAAGGGAUCAUAAAUGUGGAUAUUUGGAGUUUCUGGGAGGAUGAGACCUCCCCCCACCCACCCAAUAAUGAAUGAAUAUGUAAUGUCUUUUUUCUUAGCACAAUGUGUUCACAUGCAUUAGAUUCUUUAUCCUCAGAACAAUGUUUAUUCUAUGUUUACCUGGACCUGUGGUUGAUAUCAUCUUAGCAUAAAUAAUGCAUAAUUAUCAUCUUAAAAGUGCAGUAGAUUAUCUGAAUCCAAUUUUGAUUGCCAACAAUUUUGUUACAUCUUGCCAGGUGGAUAGCUUAAAGACAAAGCUACUUGAGAAAUUAGAGGACUAUCUCAUGACACUUCAGGAUGAACAUAAGGAGACAGGGGCUUCAGCAUUGGACACCUUGGAGACUAGUGAACCAUCUGAUAUAGGAAAAUUAUCAGACACAAUACUUUCUUUAAAAACACCAACAGGCACACACAUGGUAGCUUCCAUCUGUUAUUCUUCUUCUAUUGAAAUUUGUCUUGUUCUUUAAUUUUUGUUUCAUAGAACUGGUAUUGGUUCCUUGAAUUGGUAUUAUGCAGCAGCACAUCUAUGUUUCUUUUGUUUCUUUCAGAGUAACUAGUGCAGUUGUUAUACAGAUCUAGUGCUCGUGCCUUCCUGGAAUUCCCCAUCUAGGAUUGUAUUUUGGAAGAUCUUUCCCUUUACAUUUGGGAUGUGAUAUAUUGUCGAAGGUUACCUAUUCAUUAGAAACAUUGGCUAAGAAUUAUAUAAUUUAAGAUUCUCCUAGAAAAAUGUUAAUAAAGAUGAAUGAUUCAUCAUUGUCAAGAAAGCGUAGAUCAGAUCUUCCAAAAAAACUAGAAAUAUGCAGUGCUGUGGAUUCCCAGUUUUUUGGCUUUGGUUAAUUACUUAGUUAUACUAAAUUAAAUGAUCUCAGGGCUGCAGAAAUUGAGUUUUAGAGACCAUCAGUUUUGAGCUAUGUUUAAUACAUAUUUAUACAACAUGAAUUCAGUGAGUUCUUGAUUUUAACUUAAAAAUGUGACAUAAACAUAGGUGUCCACAAGUGUUUGUGAGCUUGUAUUUUCUCAUUUGUUGAUCUGAUGGAGGUUACUAAAAUCUUCAUAACUCUUCUUUACUUUUUUGUGAUUAAUGAAAAUUUUAAUUAAUAUGCUUUUGGCAUUAACAGUUAGUUCCAAUGGGUUAUGAUAAUAAAGGCGUUGUUGUUGAAUUAUCUCAUUUUACUAGUUAUUUAGUUAUCUGAACCAGUUGAGUUUGGUACAUGUUAGGGUUUUUUCAGUUUUUGAAUUAAUUACCUCAACCAAAGUAAAAUGAAGGUUUUCACAAAGCUGGAAGGUUUGUUCACAAUUAUUUUUGCUUUAGAGGGAUCAUGUACAAAAUUUUAGUGACUUGUAGUGAAUAGAAGGCUGCUCUAGUUUUUUAAGUGGGUUGCCUUCUUUGUGCAAAGAACUUAUUGUGUUUGCUUGUAGCUCCAUUUUACACAUAUGACCACUAGAUUUUCUUGUUAUCCUUGUUGAAGUAUGGUGAUUCCCUUGUCAUUCAAGUUAUUAGUUUUUUCUUGUUUGUUAUCAGUUGGGUUCAGGUGAUAACAAUCUUUGAUCUUUUAUACAACCUUCUUUACCUAGGUUUCUGUUGGUGAGGUCUCCAAGAUUAUCCGUGCCUAUCUUAUUAUAUUUCCUGAUUCGGAAAGACGACUCAUUGAACUUAUACAGGAGUUGUUUACCAAGUAAGUUUUUAGUUCUGUGAUUGAUAAGUUGAGUCUUAUUUUUAAAUGUGUUUGUAUUUUGUUUCUCAGCCUAAAUAAUUUUGAGAAGCUUUUGAAGUCAUUUGUACUUAUGACUUAUUCACUGUUGUACUUGAAGGCGUUAUGGAAUUAUUGAACGACGAGUAAAAGAAAGGAUGACAUCUGCAGAUAUACUGAAAAUGAUACGUAAGGACUUUAGCUAUGAAUUUAUGCUGUAUGUGGAUCACCAUUACUCUGAUGUUCUCUGAAUUUUGUUGUUAAUUUACUUUUAAAAUGCGGCUGCAUAUCUUUUCUAAAUUUCAGUAACACUCUUCACUUGGUAAGCAUCUACAUGUGUGCAUCCUGAUGUUAACCUAUAUAUAUUUAAAUUUCUUUUGGCAAGACAUAUAGGUCUAACACAAUAAUAUUAUCUCAUCCACUAUCAGGACUUUGAUUUACAAUUUAUUUGUGUCCAUGGACAUCAUAUCUGAUAAUGUUUCUACUUAAGUCUGUAUGAUACAACCCAUCGAGGUCUUUUUUGGUUGCAAUCUUCUGGACAUUUAAGAUGCCUUCUCAUAUUGGUGAACUAUAACCUACAUCACACACAACCAAUCUGAGUUGCUUGAACUAUCAUUACCUAUUUGUGCCACAAAUUAAUUGCUUCAGUGUCUUUUGAUGCCAAGCAUUUUGUAAUAUUUACCAAUUCAACAGUUGUAGUCAGUGACAAAUAUCUUAACUCUUAGGUUUCUAUAAUGGCUUGUGACCAAUAACAUGCCGAUUCCUAAUGGAACAUCCACCAUGUAAAAUAGAUAAAUUUUCAUUUCUAAAGCUGUUCAUACUUUGUCUUUUGUAGAUUGUUCUAUAAUGGGACAAACAAUUUUGCAGCUUGUAAGAGUUAUAUAUUUCCUACUUAAUAUUCCAUUGACAUAAUGCAGGAGUUAUUUGGGAAGAUGUGACACUGAUGGAUGAAGUAUUGGCUGAGGCUGCUCUUCCUGCUUUUUCUUUAGAGGUUUUUCUUUUACUCUUUAAUAAUUUUGACAUGAAUAUUGAUCACUACUAUGUUGUGCCUUAAAACAUUUUCAAAGAAUUGUGCUUCUGCUCACAGAAACAGGAAAUGUACUAUAUUUUUUUCGUCAUUUCAGUACAUAAGUUGAUCUUGCAUACAUUUCUGUUUGUUUAUAAAAGUUCAUAAAACUUCAAGUUGAAAAAGUUUAAUCCGUCAUGCACUAAGAACAGUAGAUGAACUAGACGAAUUUGUUGAAACCAAUUCAGUUUGGUAUAUUUUAAGAGACUAAUUAUCUCGAGUCUGAACAUUUGAAUUUAUCAUCAUUUAGGAGCAUCACUGUGCAUUGUUAUCUAUUUUUGUUGAGGAUAAUAGGACUUAGAUUAAUAAUUAUAAACCAUAUACCAAGGUUUGAAGUUCUUGUGGAACUGGAAUGAAACACGCUGUGUUUAAACUGUGCCAUAUUGAACAAAACAUGCUGUAUUUAAGCUUGUGCCACAUGGCACCGCCUUUUGUGGCAACAGCAGAAAAAAUGUAAAGAAAUAAUUAAAAGAAAAUGUAAAAUUAUACAUAUAAACUUUAUAAGAAUAGAUAAAAUGAAAAAAAAAAGAAAAACUUGGGUAAAAUAACUGUACUUGCAUCGUAUAGUACCAGUGAGUCCAAAACUGGUUCUCAUUUGAGACAUGCAUCUUAGGUUAGUUGAUCAGUUGUUUCCAGUGUAUCUGCCCUUCCAGAGGUCUUUUAAAAUAAGCUCAGAUCAUGCACAUGAUGUGAGCUCAGAUCAUCUUAGGUUAGUUGAUCAGUUGCUUCCAGUGUACCUGCCCUUCCACAGCGUGUUUCAUUCCAGUAUAGCACAUGAUGUAUGUCUGAUAGAGAGCCAAAAGACAUGGGUGGGCUAUAACAAUGACUUUAAUAUUUCUCUAUAUUGUGGGACAGAGGAACGAACACCAAAAGGAACUCAAGAAGUUUCUCUUGUAAUGCUUAGAUCACUCCUUAGCUCUGGUGGCAUGAAAUUUGGUUGCCUCUAGUAUUUGCUGUGAGAGUUUUGAAAUCGAAGCCUUAUGGUUUAUUUAUCAAAAUUAAUUUUUAAAGCAUGAUUAAUAUCCUCAGAUACAUUGUAGAUUAUGUUGAAAUGUUUUUGUUCUUCAUGAGAGUUUAGUUUGUGAUGUUCCUCUGCAUGAUUCACAUCCUUGGAUACAUUGUAGGUUACCUUGAAAUGUUUUUCUUCUUCAUGAUAGUUUAGUUUGUGAUGUUCCUCUGCUUAUGGGUCUUAUUCAACUUUAUUUUAGGCUGCUAGGAGUAUCAUCAGACAAUUUAUCUCGACUUCCUUCUCCCAUCUUCUUCUUGAAGUUUCAGGUGAUACUCUUGCUGCUAAUGGUGAUCCUUUGUAAUUUGUGAAAGCAUCUUUGUUGACAUGACAUUGUCAGAAACUUUCAACUUGAGGAAAUAUUACUUGCUCACCUUUGCACUUAGUAGGUGGUACGAACAUAUAUAUGCAAUGGGAAUAAGGAGCACUUCUGAUGUCAAGUCUGGAAGAAAUAUUUAGACUUCCAGAUUCAGAAUUAAGAAAUAUGACUCCAGCCACUGUGGGGGAAAUCGAAGUCAUGAAACAAUGGGAUAUGUGAAUUGAUAAUAGAUUGCCUAAUAGUCUCUUGACUGCAUUUCUUAUCAACUUUCACGUAUCAACUGUUUAUUACAAGAACUUAAUAUAUCAAGUAUAAAGUGGUAAGAGUUUCCUUGAUAAUUAACUGCAAGUCUUAUUAACUUUUAACUGUCACAAAUAAAUAAAUAUGCCAAUUGCUGUAGAUUUAACUCAAGAGCCAAGUCUGGAAGCGACUAGUAAGUUUGUUAUUCUGUCUAUUAUAAGUGUUUAUCUAGCAGUAAUAAAGCCAAUGCAUAGAUUUCUCUGUAGAUCUGAAUGUGGAUAUACAAAUAUCAAUGUUCUUCAGAAUUAGAUUUAUAGGUUGUCAAUUUACAGGUUAUAUGGCCUAAAAUAUGUGGCCAAAAUGAUGUAGAUGAAGUCAAACAUAAGAAGGUCAUGUGGAAAGAAAGCAAGUUACAUCUGAAAGAGAGGAUUUUGUGUUAAUAUGAGAUGAGAAAUUCUUUCCUGCUAGCAUAUGGUUGUAGAUCCACAGUUUUCUCUAUUCUGGUAUCAUGUCUAUGAUUUAACUCUAAGAUAGUGGGGUUAUUUCAUUAUAAUUCAUAUGUACUUUUGGAGACAUUUGAUUUUAUUUUUUGCUUUAAUAUUUCUACCAUUAUAGACACAGUGCAACCUUAUUCUCUCCUUGUUCAGUUGUAUAAACAGUAUAUAAUGAAGUCAUUCAUUUUCAGCGCUUAUAUCCUUGAUGGAGGAAAUAAUUUCACAACAAUCAUCUGGAUUUGAAUGUGUUGUGAAUAUUAGUGAAGAAAUUAGUUAUUUUACUUAUAGGAAAACACUUCUUUUCUUAAUUUGGCAGAAGCACUUGCCAAAAGCCAACCUAUGCCAAAGAAAGGGUCAGAAGAGUCUUCAUUGCAAAAUGCACUGGAAGGCAGCAAAAAGGUUGUGAUACAGGGUAGUUUGGAUCUCUUAUUGGUAAGGCUUGUAGUUCAGUGAGAUGAUUAUUAAAUUUUAUCUUCAUCUAAGGAUGCGAACUACAUAAUAAUAGUUUCUCUUUUGUUUGGUACAAAGAUGCAGAGUUGAAUUAGUAUUUGACUAAUUCUCAAACCAGUGCACUGAAUGAAAUUGUACAUAUGAGGAUUAUACUGUUUCUUUAUAUGACAAUUCAUGUUUUUGAAAAAUUAGAUUGAUGUAAAUUGAAUAUCAAUUGUUUGUUCUUGUCUUAUUAACCUUCUGCUGGAAUGUAAUUCUUGAUUGUUUUAGACAAAUUACGAGUCAUUUCUUUGAUGUAUGAUAGAUUACCUCUCUUUGUAAAUUAUACUUUUUUAUGGAGUAUGUCUCUUAUUUGAAUUAUGGUGAUGGUUAAAUUCUGCUAUUUACAUGAUUGGCCUCUUGUGCAUCUCUCUCAGUGAAAUUCUGAGGAAGGUUCCAUGUCUUAGGAAGUACAAAUUAAUGCUCUUUGGUAGCAUUCCAAUGCUUAUGAAGAACUAACAUGUCUAUACUAUUUACAAGAACUUAUAUGCAUGAGUUGGCAUCUGAAAGGUGUCUAUAUUUAAGAAAAAAGGUGUCUAGACUUUGAGUAGCAUAUGCAAGAAGUGAUAAGUGGUCAAUCAACAAGCAAACCGGUUGCAAUUGUGAACAAAGAUAAGAGGGCAUCAUGUGAUGAUGGAUCUUUUAUUUCUUGGCCUAUGCUAUGAUGUUUUUGUGAUACCAACUAAUAAAGGAACCCAUUAUUUUUUUUCUCUGAGAACAUGGCAUGAAACUAAAAAGUAUAAAUCAAAGAUGUAGAGGAUGCAUAAUACUAGCUAAGUUUCUAGAUUGCAUAUGUUUGUAUUCUGAUGUUUCACCAUAUCUGUCUUCAUUGCAUCUUUUUCUUUUUCUCACUGCCUAUUGGUGUUUGAAUGUGAAGACGGGAAAAGUGGAACCUUCACUGACAAAUAUAACUGAUUGCGCAGCUGGUUAUCAUCAGCUUCGUGUUGAUGCUUUUUACCAAUGAAGUGCUCUUUGUAUUAGUGUUGAGAGAUCAUUUCAUCUUUUGAUGCAUAUAUUUAUUGUCAAUCCGUAAUGGUCAAGAUUUUUACAAUUAUUAAAAGGUCAAUGUUAUUGACAUUGUCUUACCAGAUUCCCUCUAUAAAUGACUUUAUUGUUCUCUUCAUUUCUUAAUAAAGUAUUCAAGCCUGCUUGAGGUAGCUUUGUUCAUCACUCGAAGGUCAUUUUGCUCAACUGCCUGCCAUGAAUGAAGGAUUGUACAGUAGGCUUUAGCCUUACUAAGAAGCCAAAGUAUAGGCAACAUUGAGUGCAAAAGUUAUCUAUUUUAUCUUAUAAGCUGUUUCAUCAUCAUUAGUGAUACUUAUGUAGUUUAUAUUAUAGAUCUUGGUAUGAACCUAGGCCAAUGGGUGUUGUUCAGAUUUCACCCUAUAGGACCUAUAGUUUAUAUUCUAGAUCUUGGUAUGAACCUAGGCCAAUGACUUUAUAUUUCCUGUGUUUAGGUACACCCAAUGUGGACAACAUAAUAAAUAUUUAAAAUUGCUGAUAAGUACAAACUCUAAAAAUGCAAAGACAGAAGAAAGUGCUGCUUUGGGUUAUUUGAUUUAAUAUUCUUGGAGAUAAUGCAAUAUGAUUGGAUCUUGACUGACAUAGGAUAUUUUUCAUCUUUAAUAGGAUCAAUUUUAAAAAAAUUAGCUACAUCUCUAUGGACUUUAUUUUCUUGUUGGUAAUACAAGAUUUUCUCAUUGAUGGAAAGAAAACCCUUGGGGCUCUUCAUAUGUAUAUCAUAAAAAAAAUUCCUCUGGAUUGAAGUAAUUUUUGUUGGAUUACCAACUAUGGGUUCCCGUAUAUGACAUCAGGCACCAAAAAUAUGGACUGACAAUUUGAGUUGUCUGAUGUAUGGUAUAUUUUUUGACCAAAUCCAGUGGGCCAUAUAGUUUUGUCGCAUAAAUGUUCCUCAUUUGAGAGAGUAUCAACCCUUGUUUAACCUUAUUCAAGACUCCUUGAUAUGUGAUGUUUAGUCCCCUUCCUUAUUUGUACCAUGACAAAUUAGCAUAUUUUAAUUUAGUUUUUUGUUAAAUUUAUCUGGUGUGAUUGGUGUAAUUAUGUAAUUAUGCAACCCAUUAAAUGCAGGAAUUCCGUCAGCUUCUUGAUGAUAAUUUGGAGUUGCUAGCAAAGCUGAGAGACCUAAUAGUUGAUUGGGUGCAAGAAGGUUUCCAAGGAUUCUUUCAGAAACUCGAUGAGCUGUUUCUUGCGCUUUGUGGAAGAGGUUAUAUUGCAAAUCCUGAUUCAAGUGUAAUAGAUGCAAUACAAGUGGACAAAGUGCAGACAGGACUUGUUCUUGUGCUGGCUCAACUUUCUGUCUUCAUAGAGCAGAUUGCAAUACCCAAAAUUAUGGAGGUAGAGCUAAUGCCUUAUCUUUUAUUUUCUGUACUACAUGCUUUGAAUGACAAAAUUCUACUGUAUGUUGUCUUAAUUAUGGCUAGUUUUAUAACAGUCAAGUGAUAUUAUGAUUCUUUAUAAUAUACUUGUUAGGAAAUAGCUGCUUCCUUUUCUGGAGGUGGUGCCCGUGGCUAUGAACAUGGACCAGCUUUUGUACCUGGUGAGAUCUGCAGAAUAUUCCGUUCAGCUGGUGAAAGGUUCUUGCUUCUUGUAAGAAUUUCUCUCUAUUUAUUGCUCUGGUUAUCCAAUGAGAGUGUUGAAUUAAGCAUGCAGCAUAUAAUGAAUUUGUUAAAUCUAUGCCAUUGACAAAAUUGAGACCAUAACUGUAUCGAUUCAUAGACAAGGAGGUAUUUUCUGAUUGCUGCUUCAGUUGCAAUAUAUUGACCAUGUAGCCUAUUAAUGUAUUGCAAAAGUAAUGCAUGCUGAUUGCUCUGCUGAACCAAGAUGUGAUCUCUGUAAGGUUGUUGUCACAGUUUAAAGUGUUACUUUGUCUAGAUUAGUUAACUUAAUUAGAUUGAAAUUAACCAUUUUUUUUGAGUUCAGAUUGUCAUUAUGGAGACUCUGUCGACUAGAAUAAUCAAGGAAAUCAUACAUUCUAUUUUAUGAUAUAGCUAACGUUAAAAAAUUUGGGGUAUCAUCUCUUCUAGAUUAAGAUAUAGGUUGACUAAUUGAACUCAACAUAUUAAGCCUUUCUCACUGUCGUUUUUAUCCUUUACUGCAUUUUAGUACUGAUACUUUAAUUUGUGAUGCAACAACAUCUGCAUACUGAUCUUGAUAGUAAUACCUUGUAGUAGCUUAACUCAUUGCCAUGCUUAUGUACCUCUUAUGAUACAUUUUUUCUUUAUCUGAUCUGCAGUUUAUUGUACAUAGACCAGCAAAAAAGUACAUGAACCUUUAUGAUGCUACAAUAAGCAUGGAUAACAGAUGUGAUUAGUGCUUUUGCUCUGUUCUAGGACAAAAUACUGCAGCUAAAAUGGCCAUGGACUGCAGAAACAGUGGAUUUGCUUCAGUAUUGCAUUCUCAUAGAGAGAGCAGGUUGUAGAUGGAAAAAGAAAUAUCUUCUUGUGGCUCAGAUUUGCCAAUGCCUUUCAGGGAUGGCACAGUACCAUGUUAUUCCGAUCAUAACAUCCCUGUCCCUGCUAGUACAAGCCAAAAGAUGGUCUAGCCAUGUUUUGGCAUGGCUCAACAGUGCACUUGCCAGUACCUUUCUGGCUUAUCUAACUUAGACCUAUUAUGGCUCACGGUUAAUCGGGACCUAACUUAUAGCUUUUUGCCAAAACCCAGUGAACUUAGACUAACCAAAGCUGUUGGUUAAACAUUUGAAUGUAUUAGUUGCAUCUCAUUAAUUAUGAUUUAAACUUCAGUUUUGUGUGUGUAUGUGUGUGUGUGUGUGUGUAUAUAUGUAUUGGAAGUUCACUGGUGUUAAAGUUUCAACAUAGAAAUGAGUAAGGCUAUGAAACUGUGGUUUUUAUUGAUAUGCAGAUAGUUGACUAUGAAUGAACUAAACUGUUUGAGUGGAGUAGGCUACUUGGUAACUAGAGCGACCAUGUGCUACACAUUGGAAAGUUAAAGUGGUUUCCAUUUCUGUAGGAAAUUAGUGAGAUCAUUUUUUGUCUCAAUAUGACUAGUGAGGCUGUGUGGGUUCAUGGUAAAUAUUCACUUACAAGGUUAAAGAGCAUAAUUUAACCACUUCCUUAUAUGCCAUGGUAACUUGCUAGAUGUUGAAAAUGAAGAUGGAAAAAUAAGUUUAUUCUUUUCAUUAAAAAGGAAUGUUACCUGUGUUGCAUGUUUGUACGCAAGGCAGAAUGGUAUACUAAUGAUUAUCACUUCAACUUGCAGUGAAUUUUCUGGUUAUUUUUGUUCUAUUGAUAUACAUGAGAGAAAUCUUUUCUAAUGUGUUACUAAAUGAAUGAAGUCAAUGGAUCAAGGAUUGCAAUUUCGGUCUAUACUGGUGUCCCUAGCCCUACUUGGUGUAGUACGUACUGAUUAGGGUUUUUAAAUUAGAAAUAAAUAUAAAUUUAGUAUAAUUUUAGCAAAAAUAAUGUAAAUUAGGAAAGAAUAGUGUCACAUCUUUUUCGAGUUUUGAGAAGUAGCUUUGUGGAAUGCUAGGGAUCGUCCUUCCAUUAAUAUUAAAUUAUCUACAAAAAAAUAUUUGAAUUGUUAGAUUAUUUUUUAUACAACUUAAACUUUAAGAUUCAAAUAAAUUAAGUAAUCAAUCGAUGGAUAUACAUGGUUUUGCUACCAAAAAGAAUGACGGGACUCUACGAGUGAUUGAUCGGGGCCCUCGAUCCUAUGUAUUUGUAUAUUAAUAUAAUAUGUUUGUCAGACCCAAUCUUGAAAUUGAUCCCACAACAUAGUAUACUGAUAUAUCAUAUGCCAUUGGUGCAUCAAUGUGGUGAUGGUCGUAGUCGGAUUGUCGUGAACCACGUGUCUGAGGCGGCUCCUAAUGCAAAAACGAAUAUGACAUAUAUUGGUGCGGAGCAUAGAGAAUGUUAGAACUUCUACUUUUGCUAUUGAUCUACUGCUUCAUAUCGUAAGAUCGAUUAUCGUACUGUUGCUCAGAGAAGUAUGACCAACUAUCACCAUACUGUUGUUGGUCGUAAGAUUCUCCAUAGUACGACAAUUAUGAAUACAAUGAGCUUCAUUCUGUGUUUACGUCGUGUAUGUUCUAUCGCAUCUGCCCAAAAUCAUCCAUUAGCUUCCCCUUCCCCUUCCGUGCAUAAACUUAAAAUGAGUUGAAAGAGGGGGGAGGAAAGAGUUUAAAAACUCUUUUCUAAGCCCAAACGGUCAAAUUAAUUGUUUGAAAUAGGGCAAUCUCAGCCCUUGAUCGGUAACGGUCGAAAUCCGAUCGGUACAGGAUGGAAACAAUCGGAUUUCAAUCAUGACCGCCCGGUACUGAUCUCGUAUCACCCAAUAUAGGGUCAAAUGAUUGGUAUCGUCCGAUAGAGGGCAGUCCGCAUACCGGUAUCCUGUCAGACCGGUAUGUACUACCCGUAUUAGGCGGUAUGCAUCAGUACAGCAAACCCUGCAAUCGACUGACCUUGCUACGACUAUGAGGGUUCUGUUAUGAUCAAUAUAAUUAGGUAUGAUUAUAGCUAUUAUUUUGAUGCAUUUACAAAAACCAAAGAGAUUAUUGCUUUAAUUUUAUUGUGAAAGAGUUGUUUUCUUUUACCUACCUAUUUUAUGGUCUUGAAAUCUCUCUAUGGUCACAGCUAAUUAAUUUCUUUUUUGCAGUAUAUAAAUAUGAAAACCCAAAAGAUAUCUAUCCUUCUGAAAAAGAGGUUCACCACACCUAACUGGAUCAAGGUGAAUGUUGGGUUGAUGGCUAGUUUGGCUUCAUUGUAUUACUUAAAUACACUUUUCCACUUGAUGUUUAUGCUGAAUAUUUUGACAGCACAAGGAACCACGAGAAGUUCACAUGUUUGUUGACCUGCUGCUUCAAGAGGUCUGUUAGCUUUCUAUGUGAUCCAUUUCUUCAUUUUUUUGUUCUGUGCAAUUUUCUGUCGACUUUCUAUAUGUGCAGAUUGUUCUGACCAUCGAACCAGUGAAGAUAUUUCAUUUGAAGUUACUUUUAAGUAUCUGAUGUUUCUGUGAGAUUUUGUACUGCUGGAACACGGUUUAAGUUACUGUAUCUGAAGGAUAAUUGAUGUUCUUGCAAACAGUUGUCAUAGAAUAAGGUUUACCUAUUUGUUUAUGAUAGCAACAGAAGAUAGAUUAAUUUUGGGUUGCAAAUGUUUAUCUUUUUCAUAGCCUUAAUGAUGCUUGCAACAGGAACAGUGGGAUGUACAAAAGAACUUGUUUAUCAAACUAGCACUGGAGGCUUGCUGAUACUAAGCUGAGCUCCUUGAUUAAGACACUACUUUUUAAAGAUGCAUUCAUCAUUAUUCUUUCUUUGUAUUCAGAUGGAGAGGAUAGAGGGUAAAUUUUAUAAUCCAAAUUGGCAGUUUGUUUACACUCCAAAGUUGACACUAAGAAGAUUAGUGCUUCCUACAGUUCAUAAUUUUUUUUUUUUAUGUGGGUUGAGUUGCCAGACCACCUACAAGUAAUUUAAAUAUAAGAUUUUGGUCAUUCUAGCUUUAUAUGCUAGUUCUAGUUUUUUAUUUUAAAUAAAAAAAGGGAUAUAUAUAUAUAUAUAUAUAUAUAUAUAUAUAUAUAUAUAUAUAUAUAUACACACACAUAUUAAGAGGAAAUAAUUGGUGUUAACAUGCUAAAAAUAAAAAAUACAUGAGCAUACACAUGUAUUUAGAAUAGUUGAGGGAUGUAAAUUACCCUUGUCCAUGAGAAAUUGUGAUCUUCUUGGGAUUAGUGGAUCUGAAGCCACAAGCUCGUACAACUCGUGAUUUUAGGUAUGUCAGCAAUCAUAUGUUUGAUGACUUCAUUGAACCGAAGAGCCCCCUGAAUUCCAUAUUAUUUCACUUCACCAAAUGCAUAGAAAAACUUCACAAAGCUAUGACAGGUUGCACUGUUUUUGUGACAUCUGGAGUUGCUGAAUGCAGUUUCUGUUGUUAAUGAAGUCUGUUGGAGCUAUGUUUAAGUAUUGGUUAUCGUGUUAGUAUUUGUUAAAUCUUCUUGGAAAGGCUUCAUGGUUAUCAUGGGGCAAGGUCAAUUUCUUUUUAAUGUUUUGAUAGCCCAUCGACAUGAGUCCUGUUAUAUUUUUAACAAGGAUUGAUUUAACUAGUCUCUAUUUCCUUGCAGUUGGAAGCUGUAGGAAUCGAAGUCCGACAGAUCUUACCUCAAGGACUGGUUCGGCGGCAUCGCCAUUCUGACAGUACAGGGAGUACUAAUUCUUCUCGUAGCAACCCAACACGUGAAGAUAAGUUAACCCGAACAAAUACACAGCGAGUGAGAAGCCAAUUUUUAGAAAGUCAUCUUGCCAAGUUAUUUGAACAAAAGAUGGAGAUAUUUACUAAAGUUCAGUACACACAGGUGAGAACCGGUUGAAACUUUGUAACAUAGCUAGACUUCAUUAGUGUUCAAGAGUCCUGUCUUUCGGUUGGCUAUGAUGGUAAUCAAGUAGGUCAUAAUUGUUUAUGUGCCAACAUUUUCUUUAAAAAAAGUAGUAUAAUAAGGUGGUUAUGUUAAAACUGUAAUAACUAUAUACUGUCAAGAAUGAACUACUUGUAAUGAAUCAUUCUUUCCUUCAAUGUAAUGAAACUGACUGAGGUACCAACGAAGUCAAGUAUUCGGCCAGCAAUAGUUGAUGCUUGUUGAUAUAGAAGUUUGGUGGUUCUAAUAUUGUGAGGCUUUAGUUAGUGUCAUACUGUUUUCUCAGUUGGCCUGUAGUAGCUAUUCUUAAUUGGAAGGUUAGUAAUAACUAAUAAGAGACUUUGGAAUUUCCAUAUACUGGCUUUAACUCUUUUUUAGCAAUUGCAAGCUAUAAAAUCAUGGCCAGUAUCUGUAACAUAGUAUCGCUGGAUAGUAAAUUGUCUAUUUAGUGAACCAUAAUGCACCUAAUAUAUCGAUAAUUUGCAGGAGUCAGUUAUAUCGACCGUAAUAAAAUUUUGCCUGAAGAGCUUACAAGAGUUUGUGCGACUCCAGACAUUCAAUCGUAGUGGAUUUCAGCAGAUUCAGUUGGAUAUUGAAUUUCUGAAGAAUCCACUGAAAGAGUUUGUAGACGAUGAUGCAGCAAUUGAUUUCCUGCUAAAAGAGGUAAUCACAUGUCAUCAGUGCAUAAGGCUUUUGUCAUUUAAGAUAAUUGAAAGUUUUAUGGUGGCUUGUCUUUUCUGCAAUUUAAUCAAUAUUCAUUUAGCACAGACGAUACACUUUAUUUGUCUUCUUAUUAUGGUAUACCGAAGAAUUGAAAUUUCAAAUAUGUUGAUGUCCUGCCCUUUCAGUAAGUAUCUAGAUAGUGCAUCAUUGUGUUGAAGGAUUAAUUUAUUUGAUAUGUUAAUGUCGUAGUGGAUCCAUAACAACACUGCCUUCAGGUCUGAUAUAGUGAGUAAUUCUCGGUCCUAGUGUCAAUUUAACUAGUUUUCUGAAUUACUAGUAAGAUAUGAGCUUCACAACCAAAAACCAGUUCCACUGUGUUCUGGCGGAACUCGCAAGACUUACAUUUUAGUUAUUUAAGAAACCUCAGAGGGAUUAUAGUAAAUUACACUGCAGUUGCUCCUUCAAUGUACUACUUAACCUUAAAAAGUUAAAAGAACCUAUCUAUGUUCCUUCUAAGGUUUCAUAAACUUUCAUAAAUAUGACUCGUUGGUGUCCGAGUUGGCUUAUGAUUCUUGCCUAAUUAUGACAAACUCAUGAUAGUCACUUUUAACUCCCACAUUUGUGUUUAAAUGAUCCAGCAUUGACCAAGAAAAUGCAACAUUUAUAGCUUCUGUUAUUGAUUAAUUUCUGAAAUUUCGUGUUGCAGGUGAUUGGUGCUGCUCAUGAAAGGUGUCUUGACCCAAUCCCCCUCGAGGCUCCCAUUUUAGACAAACUCAUAAGCACAAAGAUAUCCAAGAGCAGGGAGGAGAACCAAAGUUCCUCUUUGGCGUAGAAAAUGGAGAACUUCGGAGAAUCUAUCUCCAACUCUGUUUUGAAGUUUAAUGUGUAAUUUUCUCACCUUCGGUCAAUUCAUUUCAAGCUUAGGGGGUAUAACAUAGGUUCUUUAUCAGGUUGUACAUAGUGUUUAGACCUCCAGAUGACACAUCAGGUUCACCAGCACAAACAGUAGAAUUAUAUUUCUUAUCUUCUCCCUCUUAGCAGCUAUGCAGUCAUCAGAAAGUUCAAAAUCCAGAACUAUGAAAAGAAUCAAAAAAAAAUUUUGGAAACCAAACACUAAUCAUCUUCACGGGCCACCAGGAGUCAUGGUACAUUAGUUUCGCGUUCUGCAAGUUUUUCUUGAUAUGAAAAUGGUGUUCCUUGGCCCAAAAGACGUCCAAUCUUGGCUUAGACGUACCUUAGUAGUGAUAGCAUCGUCUGGUUCAUGGCUCUCUGGAACAUACGGGAACCUGAAUUGUCAAAGGAACAAAACAUUGAUUGUUAUUUUUUUCCCCAUUUCCUUGCAGGAUACAAGAAUCUGACAAAGCCCAAGUUGCUUUUUGUCUUUUCUGAGAGAAGAGGCUUUGACGAGCACAACUCCACAGAAGAUCCAUUGCCAGCGUUCUUCAUGUCAUGUCUUGGUAUCUUCUUACUUGUUGGAGCACGGCCGGAUUCUUAAGCUUGUAAGAGGAGAAUGUUAUUGAAUUUGAUUGGCUUUCCUUUUGCAGGGAAGCAACCCCUACUUGGUAUUCGAACUCUCAUGACAAUGCUUUUGUCCAUGAACAGCUGUUUUGAAUAGCUCUUUUAUGUAUGUAGUAGAUUUCUGUUAUAGUUACGAACGUCAAUAUAAGAUUAAUCUCCGAUAUUAACAUUGAUUAUUGCGUUUUCUAGGCGCAAACCUGGUGAGAAUUUGGCUUCAUGUGCAUGACUUAUAUAUAUCCUAUCAUGAAAACUUUGUGGUUCUCACUUAUUACUUGCAUGGUUCUCUCUGCAAGAGGUCCUUUAUUACAAACAUCGCACAGUAACAUUUCUACUUUUUGGUGGGAAAAAGAGGUCAUAACAUGUUUUAGUCCUUCCAGUGCUAGUCCUUCAAUGAAUGCACUCACCUGUCUUCAAACUGCCCAGUAUACAGGAAUAGAGAUAUAAUUGAAGCUUAUGGAUGCAUUUGAGUGAAAAAUUUGAAGAUUUUUAUCCAUUAUAGUGAAGUUUUCCUUUUCCUUUUGUUCUAAUUCAGGUUUUGACUUUUAGCACCCUAAAAACUGCAGCUAAAAAUACAUCAUAAUUGUGUAUACGACAGGUUAUAAUCAAUUGAUUAAUUUGGUUAUUUAAUCUAUUUUAUACUAAUUAUUGAUUAAUUUUGUUAUAAAUAGUUCUUUACGCACGAAGUUAUUACAUAAUUCUUAUCAGCUCUUCUCGAAAGCUGAAAGGACUGAUAUGACCAUGUAGAGGUGUCCAGAAAUCAAUGUAACGGCUGUUACAUUAGAACUCGUUAUAAGCACGCGUCACACUCUUCGCCUUUACUUCUUCAAAACGCGGGGCACAGACCCCGGCCCUCGAACAAGCCAGCGGUUGUCUCUAUCGGCGUCUGCCUCCACCUCUGCGUCGAAGGCCAUGGGAUCGAUGGGACGGACGUCGACUCUGGUGCCCGUAACUGCGGCGGCGAUCGACGAGAUCGGGUUUGCUCUUCUUCGGUGGUUUUUGGUGUCGAGGGUCGAGGUAUCGAGCGAUUCGGAAGAGCCAUGGGUUUUCUGGAAAAUCUCUUAGCGGAAGAGGGGGCGGGGGAUGGAUUGGACCGCGCCUCCGUCGCUGCCAUGUGUGCGGAAAACCAUAGGAUGUCGCUCCGUUUGGUGAUUCUGAUCCGUAUGAAAAACGUCGAACUUCAAUUUAAAUUUUCGGAUUUUAUUCCCUUUUAUAUAUUUCUUCUUUAUUAUUUUCGUUUCUUCUUUACUUUUCUGUUAUUUGGUUCUACAAACUUUGCUGCUUUAACACACAGAUCUCACCUUUUUCCUUUUUCGGUUGUUGGUUUUGCUUAUGUUGAAGGUUAAAUCCCAUGAAAUUAUACUCCAUCAUGGAUUUUUCUCCUUAUGAAUGAGCUCAUCCAAAAACUUCGGAGCAAGCCAUAUGGUUGUGGUCAUAUGGAAGUCUAAUAAUAAGUCACUUAUAGCAUCCUCACUUUUUUUUUUCUGCUUCUGAUUUUUCUGAAUCUUUUUUGCUAUAACGUCCUAGUCAUCUACUUGAUAAUGUAUAUUUGGGUCCUGGCCACACGUCACAGUCAACGCCAUGCCACGCCACCGCCAGAUCAGCAAGAGGAACACUCCCAUGCGUCGAGCCAGAAUCCGUAUCAAGGCGUUCCUCGGUACAUCCCAUCCUGAAAAGCUCGAGACGACGCCGUUUUGCACGUCCCAGGACGACGACCGCACAAAGGUACCAUCUCGCCCCUCGAGGAUCGGUCGCCACGCCAAACCUGCGUACGACCGACCCUCGUAUAGUAGUAUAAAAACCUCUGGCCGGCAUCUGGCCAAGGGAGAGGCAAAAACAGAGAACAAAACACUAACUUAUUCGUUGAGGGGCCAAAGUCGGGAACCAUCCAACGAGGCUCUUUCGUGCAGGAGAGCGGCCACCCCCCUCGAGGCGCCACUAUCCCGAUCGAGAGGUGUCUUCCUCCGGACGGAUCCGACGUCCCGACCGACGCUCAGGGCUUUCCAUCCAAAAGAGCAGACACCCUUGAGGCACGACCGUCCCGACCGAGGGAUGCCAACCAACAUUUCGGCGCCAGCACCCCAUCUUGAGAGCGUGAUCGACCUCGGCAACCAGCUCAGCCGACCGACGACUCCCGACAUCGNNNNNNNNNNNNNNNNNNNNAUCAGUUCAUCAACAUUUUUGACGCUAGAAGGAGGGCCUUUCGUGUAGGAGAGCGGCCACCCCCCUUGAGGCGCCACCAUCCCGAUCGAGAGGCGUCUUCCUCCGGAUGGAUCCGACUUCCCGACCGACACUCAGGGCUUUCCAUCCAAGAGAGCAGACACCCCCGAGGCACGAUCGUCCCGACCGAGGGACGCCAACCAACAUUCCGGCGCUAGCACCCCGUCUUAAGGGCAUGAUCGACCUCGGCAACUAGCUCAGCCGACCGAAGACUCCCGACAUCGACCCGUGGACCAGGCCGUGCUGACUCAUCAGCCACAACGCAUUAGUUCAUCAACAUCCGAUUAGUUCUUGGCUUGGCUUUUAGUAAUACUAGAUGUGAUGCCCCGAUUAGUUCCGCAUUGGAAUGUAAGAUUAGAUGAACCUGUUAUUAGUAACAUCGGCAUCCGAGAUUACGAUGUUAAUAACUGUUAUUAGUAAUCAUUAUGAUUCACCUAUUCUACACCUUAUAAGCUCAGAUGUUCUUCUACAAGUAACCUGAGCAUGCCAUUUCGUGCCACGGGUUAUAUGAGUCUGAUAAUAGUAAUUUGGUCUGAAGUAUAUUGCACCACGACUUAGAAACUCAUUCUAUCGUGGUUAUCAGGUUGGCUUAUAUAUUGGAUUGAAUUGUGAAAAUAAGAGGGAUUCAACAUUUCUCUAUUGAGAAAGAACUUCUUCCAUUUAAGGCCUUGGUUUUGAUCUUGAAAUUGCCAAUCCAGUUUGAAGCAUGAUGGCCAUAGAUCACAUGGUGGAGUCGUUGUAGUGUGAAGUAGAGAAUCCAAGUGCGAAUAUGCCUUGCUUUAAAUGCACAAGGAAAAUUACGUUGUGUUCUAUGGAUCAGAUUUUUUGCUACUCUUGUUAAUGUGCUUCUCUUUGUUGCAUAAUAGUCUUCGCACUCACUCCUUAUUGCCCAUCGUGCUACAUUUUCUUUUUCGUUUGUUCUUUCAUUGUAAGAUUUGUAAGGAUUAUCUUCAGUAAAUAUAUGAUUUUACUGGGCAAACUUUUACUAUCAGGGGC
rnacentral:lncRNA from 1 species